GACGAACGCUGGCGGCGUGCCUAAUACAUGCAAGUAGAACGCUGAAGGAGGAGCUUGCUUCUCCGGAUGAGUUGCGAACGGGUGAGUAACGCGUAGGUAUCCUGCCUGGUAGCGGGGGAUAACUAUUGGAAACGAUAGCUAAUACCGCAUAAGAGUAGAUGUCGCAUGACAUUUGCUUAAAAGGUGCAACUGCACCACUACCAGAUGGACCUGCGUUGUAUUAGCUAGUUGGUGAGGUAACGGCUCACCAAGGCAACGAUACAUAGCCGACCUGAGAGGGUGAUCGGCCACACUGGGACUGAGACACGGCCCAGACUCCUACGGGAGGCAGCAGUAGGGAAUCUUCGGCAAUGGACGGAAGUCUGACCGAGCAACGCCGCGUGAGUGAAGAAGGUUUUCGGAUCGUAAAGCUCUGUUGUAAGAGAAGAACGAGUGUGAGAGUGGAAAGUUCACACUGUGACGGUAUCUUACCAGAAAGGGACGGCUAACUACGUG
rnacentral:rRNA from 1 species